rnacentral:rRNA from 1 species
CAGUCGCCACGGUAAAACGUAGGUCCCGAGCGUUGUCCGGAUUUAUUGGGCGUAAAGCGAGCGCAGGCGGAUCGGUCAGUCUGUCUUAAAAGUUCGGGGCUUAACCCCGUGAUGGGAUGGAAACUGCCAAUCUAGAGUAUCGGAGAGGAAAGUGGAAUUCCUAGUGUAGCGGCGAAAUGCGUAGAUAUUAGGAAGAACACCAGUGGCGAAGGCGACUUUCUGGACGAAAACUGACGCUGAGGCGCGAAAGCCAGGGGAGCAAACAGGAUUAGAUACCCCUGUAGUCCCUGUCUCUUAUACA